UGCGAGUCAUUGUAGCAAUACAAGGCAGACGGCUCAGUAACGCGUAGUCAACCUACCCUAUGGACGGGAAUAACCUCGGGAAACUGAGUAUAAUGCCCGAUAGAACACUAUACCUGGAAUGGUUUGUGUUUCAAAUGAUUUAUUGCCGUAGGAUGGGACUGCGGCCUAUCAGUUUGUUGGUGAGGUAAUGGCCCACCAAGACUAUUACAGGUACGGGCUCUGAGAGGAGUGGCCCGGAGAUGGGUACUGAGACACGGACCCAGGCCCUAUGGGGCGCAGCAGGCGAGAAAACUUUGCAAUGUGCGAAAGCACGACAAGGUUAAUCCGAGUGGUUUCUGCUAAAGGAACCUUUUGACAGUCCUAGAAACACUGUUGAAUAAGGGGUGGGCAAGUUCUGGUGUCAGCCGCCGCGGUAAAACCAGCACCUCAAGUGGUCAGGAUGAUUAUUGGGCCUAAAGCAUCCGUAGCCGGCUCAGUAAGCUUUCGGUUAAAUCUGUACGCUCAACGUACAGGCUGCCGGGAAUACUGCAGAGCUAGGGAGUGGGAGAGGUAGACGGUACUCGGUAGGAAGGGGUAAAAUCCUUUGAUCUAUCGAUGACCACCUGUGGCGAAGGCGGUCUACCAGAACACGUUCGACGGUGAGGGAUGAAAGCUGGGGGAGCAAACCGGAUUAGAUGCCCGGGUAGUCCCAGCUGUAAACGAUGCAGACUCGAUGAUGCAUUGGCAUAUAGCCAGUGCAGUGUCGCA
rnacentral:rRNA from 1 species